GCUGUUUUCGGGUGGAUGACUUUGCAAUUUUAACAAUACCAUGAAUCUUAAAUGAAAAAUUGCACGGUAUCCAUCUGUAAUCCGCC
rnacentral:pre_miRNA from 1 species